CCUACGGGUGGCAGCAGUAGGGAAUAUUGCUCAAUGGGGGAAACCCUGAACCAGCAACGUCGCGUGGAUGAUGAAGGUUUUCGGAUUGUAAACCCCUUUUGUUAGAGAAGAUAAUGACGGUAUCUAACGAAUAAGCACCGGCUAACUCCGUGCCAGCAGCCGCGGUAAUACGGCGGGUGCAAGCGUUACUCGGAAUCACUGGACGUAAAGCGCGCGUAGGUGGGAUAGCAAGUCAGAUGUUAAAACCUAGGGCUUAACCAUAGAACUGCAUUUGAAACUGUUAUUCUAGAGUAUGGGAGAGGUAGGUGGAAUUCUUGGUGUAGCGGUAAAAUGCGUAGAGAUCAAGAGGAAUACUCAUUGCGAAGGCGGCCUGCUAGAACAUAACUGACGCUGAUGCGCGAAAGCGUGGGGAGCAAACAGGAUUAGAUACCCUUGUAGUC
rnacentral:rRNA from 1 species